rnacentral:tRNA from 1 species
GCUCCGAUCGUCUAGCUCGGUCAAGGACGCAGGACUCUCAAUCCUGCAACUCGGGUUCAAAUCCCGAUCGGAGCA